rnacentral:rRNA from 1 species
AUGAACGCUGGCGGCGUGCCUAAUACAUGCCAGUCGAGCGAACAGACGAGGAGCUUGCUCCUCUGACGUUAGCGGCGGACGGGUGAGUAACACGUGGAUAACCUACCUAUAAGACUGGGAUAACUUCGGGAAACCGGAGCUAAUACCGGAUAAUAUAUUGAACCGCAUGGUUCAAUAGUGAAAGACGGUUUUGCUGUCACUUAUAGAUGGAUCCGCGCCGCAUUAGCUAGUUGGUAAGGUAACGGCUUACCAAGGCAACGAUGCGUAGCCGACCUGAGAGGGUGAUCGGCCACACUGGAACUGAGACACGGUCCAGACUCCUACGGGAGGCAGCAGUAGGGAAUCUUCCGCAAUGGGCGAAAGCCUGACGGAGCAACGCCGCGUGAGUGAUGAAGGUCUUCGGAUCGUAAAACUCUGUUAUUAGGGAAGAACAAAUGUGUAAGUAACUAUGCACGUCUUGACGGCACCUAAUCAGAAAGCCACGGCUAACUACGU